AUGACGCGACAGCACAGGGUGCCAGCCACGGGCAGCAGGCUUCUCGGGGGCAUUUGCCGACACAACACAGCAGCAGGCGGGCAGUGGACGAGGGGCUCCCCUCUGUCUCCUGAGGACAAGGCCUCGGCUCCCGCGAAGAGACAGAUUCUCGGGUGCACUGCAGCGUCUGCAUCCAACAGCUGCUCCCGCUCCUGCAGCCCCGGAGCACACGCCAUGCAGUCUUGGCUCUGUCCUUCUCACAUCCAGCGAGCCCCCAGACCCGUCCGGCCCACCCUAGGGCUCCGAGCUGACUGCCCUGCCCCAGCCCUCCCCCAGCCCCACCUGCCCUCGUCUCUGCCCUGCCGCUGCAUCCGUGCCCACGUGGCUGCCCAAGGCCGCAGGCGACAGCUACACGGAGCCCUCAGCAGCCACUCCUGCUUCAGAACCUCCAGAGGCUGCACGCUCUGCUCACCAAGACCCCAGGAGACCCUCCCAGCCUCCACAGACCCGGGAACCUGCUCCCUUCCCGUCUCCUCCCCUCCCCCACCAGCCAGAGCCUCGGGAGCUGCCUUCCACUCCUUUAGCACACAGAGCGCUACAGGGCACAGGGCCUUUGCACUGGCCCCGCCCCCAGAACGCGCCCCCUCAUCUUCCCACGCCCGCCUUCACGUAGCUCUCACCCUGAACACGCUGACGCCCAAGGCUGUGCUGAACACCGGCUCUCGGGCAGCGCCCAGCCUUCGUCCCUCGGCCCAGCUUCCUCUCCACGUGCUCCUGCCACCUUGUCACGCUACAGGGUACAGAGACAGACACGGCGUGUCUACCUGCCUGUCUGCAUCCCAUAGGAGAGCGCCACCUCCUUCAGGGCAGGCCCACGGGGGUCUGGCUCUUUCGCUCCAGCUGCCUGCAACCACAGCAGGUGCUCCACAAACACUGGCCGAAGGGGUGACUUCACCUACACUCACUCCCCAGCACGGGGAACCCGCGAGGUCGGUCCAGCUGAUGAGACAGAGCUGGUCACGCAGUGAGCCAGGGCGCCAGGCCUGCCGGAGACAGCCCUACCAGGGCGUCUACCGCAGACUCUGA
rnacentral:lncRNA from 1 species